UGAGGAACAUGACCUUCGGCGGGGGAUAGCCGGCCCAACGGCCGGGUAAUACCGCGUACGACCACUUUGGGACAUCCCUCGGUGGUGAAAGCAGCAAUGCGCCGAUGGAGUGCCUCGCGGCCUAUCAGCUAGUUGGUGAGAUAACGGCCCACAAGGCGACGACGGGUAGCCGGCCUGAGAGGGCGACCGGCCACACUGGGACUGAGACACGGCCCAGACUCCUACGGGGAGCAG
rnacentral:rRNA from 1 species